ensembl:lncRNA
UUUCAAAGGCGGAUUUGUUUGAAGUUACUUUCAAAUUAUCUUGACAAAAGUGCCCUACUGAUAUCUUGCAAAAGAGUGUCUCAAGAAAGAAAGAAGGAAAGAAAUCCCCUUUAUUUUUGCAUUCCUGAAAACCACACGGAGGUUCCUCAGUUCUUUUUUUGGUUUGUUUUGGUUGUUCUAUGGAAAGGCAAAUUCUUAAGCAGAGACAAACCAGUAUGCUGCUAGAACACUUAAAUUUUUUUUUUCAAGAUCCCUGGAGUCCAAUUCUGCAACUCUUGUUUCAAGCUAAAUUGUAGUCUAAUGUAAACUAUGUUCUAAUGCAUACAGCUAAAAUGUUAAAACCUAUUGUUCAGAAUUAGGAGAAUUCUCCAUCAGUGCAGAAGCUCAGGCUGCAUGACUACUCAAAGUUCUACUGGGGUAUUAUUCCUCUUUCUCUGCCUGCCUGCAUCCCUAUCUUCGUUAUUUUGUGUCUCUUGUGUCUAGCACAAUGUAUGUAUUUCUCUCCCCAGUACUUUAGCUUGUAAAUUCUUUUGAACUCCCUCACUGUUCCCAGCACUACAUUCAGAAGAGAGCUGCUGAAUUAAUCUGUGAUGAAAUCCACUUGUGCAUGUAGGAGGAGAUUUCGGCAGUGAGAUAUCUGAUGCAGAAAGCUCUGGUCCAGAUACUAGAUGUGGUAGUAAAAUAAGAAAAUGAACAAACGGCGAUCUGUGUCAACACACAGAAUUCAAAGGAAAGGCUAGAAGUUUUGAAAACAGAUUUAGUAACACCGAAGACCAAAUCCUGCCCAUGAAUCUGGACAGCUGGCAUGUUGUAAUUGGCCACAGAAAAUUCACGACUUUUAAAUUAACAAUGGCAUCUUCUGUCUUCAGAAAACCAGUUGUGUAAGGUGUUCAGGCCUUACUGGCAGUAAUUCUACCUUUACUUAAUUAAGUAUUUCUGAAAUCAUCAAACCAAUGGUAAACAUAACCCUCUAUUUAAUGGUGACUAAAAAAAAAAAAAAAAGAUUCCUUUUGCAGGUUGAAUAUUAAGGUAAAGUAAGAAUGACUGGGAAGAUUUAUUAGCAAAUACACUCCCAAAAAGAGAAUCCUGUUACUUUGAAGUGACUCCUCCCCAAUCUAGGCCAGAACAAAGAAGUGUGUUAAAAUUAAUGAUUCCAAAGUAUCUCGAAUGCCAUUUCCUAGUCCUUAAUGACGACAACCAAAAAUGUAGUUCUCAGUAAUACAUUUUCUUUCAAGACCAAAUCUUGCAAAUUUAAAGUAAAUAAGGUAGCGCACUGUUGAAGGUAUUUCAAGUUGGAGAGAAAUAUGUUAGCAUUUAUUUUUUAAGCACCUCAAAAUAUAAAAAAUUUUAUAUUCACCUCUUAUUUUUUACUCCCAUGGGUUUGAGCAUCACCAGUUAAACGAGAAAUAUAAUUCAGGAAAAAAAAAAGUUUAGUAUCCAUUUUUACAACAUGCUCCAAAGAGCAGAACUGAAACAACUGAGGUGAUUCAAUGUAUCUUCAAAACUAAACACCUUUCCUCAGCAGUAUAUUUAAAAUGCACACUCCUAGUUAUGUUUUAGCUCUUGGUCUUCUAACCUUGUUCAGAAAACCGUGAAGUCAUUGAUAUGUAUUUUAAUAACUUUGUAAAGCUAAUAAAGUAUCUUCUGACCUUUUAGCCCACAAGGUCAACCGUCUUACGGAAUGUAAGUUCGUCCUUCAGUGCUGGCUCCCCAGUGCAUAAACAGUUGCUCCCACCUGGUAGGCACUCAUGAAAUAUUUCUUGUUGAAUGAUUAAGAUAACCUUUUGUUUCUCUGUCUGUGGAGUCCAUGAAAACAUGAAUCAUUAUUCAGAUAGCACCGUGAUUUUUUAAAAAGAUAACC